rnacentral:rRNA from 1 species
AGAGUUUGAUCCUGGCUCAGAUUGAACGCUGGCGGCGUGCCUAACACAUGCAAGUCGAGCGGUAACGCGGGAGCAAUCCUGGCGACGAGCGGCGAACGGGUGAGUAAUGCUUCGGAAUCUUCCCAGUUGUGGGGAAUAACUAGCCGAAAGGUUAGCUAAUACCGCAUACGUCCUACGGGAGAAAGCAGGGGAUCGCAAGACCUUGCGCUAUUGGAUGAGCCGAAGUCGGAUUAGCUAGUUGGUGAGGUAACGGCUCACCAAGGCGACAAUCCGUAGCUGGUCUGAGAGGACGACCAGCCACACUGGGACUGAGACACGGCCCAGACUCCUACGGGAGGCAGCAGUGGGGAAUAUUGGACAAUGGGGGAAACCCUGAUCCAGCGACGCCGCGUGUGUGAAGAAGGCCUGCGGGUUGUAAAGCACUUUUAGUGGGGAUGAAAAGCUCAGGGCUAAUACCUCUGGGUCUUGACCUAACCCACAGAAAAAGCACCGGCUAACUCUGUGCCAGCAGCCGCGGUAAUACAGAGGGUGCGAGCGUUAAUCGGAAUUACUGGGCGUAAAGCGUGCGUAGACGGUUAUGUAAGUCAGGUGUGAAAGCCCCGGGCUCAACCUGGGAAUUGCAUUUGAGACUGCAUAGCUAGGGUGCGGAAGAGGGAAGCGGAAUUUCCGGUAGCGGUGAAAUGCGUAGAUAUCGGAAGGAACACCAGUGGCGAAAGCGGCUUCCUGGUCCAGCACCGACGUUCAGGCACGAAAGCGUGGGGAGCAAACAGGAUUAGAUACCCCAGUAGUCC